rnacentral:rRNA from 1 species
UACAGAGGUCCCAAGCGUUGUUCGGAUUCACUGGGCGUAAAGGGUGCGUAGGCGGUCUGGUAAGUCUGACGUGAAAUCUCCGGGCCUAACCCGGAAACUGCGUCGGAUACUAUCCGGCUAGAGGAUUGGAAGGGAGACUGGAAUACUUGGUGUAGCAGUGAAAUGCGUAGAUAUCAAGUGGAACACCAGUGGCGAAGGCGAGUCUCUGGACAUUUCCUGACGCUGAUGCACGAAAGCUAGGGGAGCAAACAGG